AGCUCCAAUAGCGUAUAUUUAAGUUGUUGCGGUUAAAAAGCUCGUAGUUGGAUUUCGGGCGUGGAGGUUCGGUCCGCCGUUUCGGUGUGCACUGUCUUUCUGCGUCUUUCUGUCGGGGACGCGCUUCUGGCCUUAAUUGGCUGGGACGUGGAUUCGACGAGGUUACUUUGAAAAAAUUAGAGUGUUCAAAGCAAGCUAAAGCUCUGAAUACAUUAGCAUGGAAUAACGCGAGAGGACUCGGUCCUUAUUUUGUUGGUCUUCAAGGAUGGAGUAAUGAUUAAGAGGGACAGUUGGGGGCAUUCGUAUUUCAUUGCUAGAGGUGAAAUUCUUGGAUUUAUGAAAGACGAACUUCUGCGAAAGCAUUUGCCAAGGAUGUUUUCA
rnacentral:rRNA from 1 species